ensembl:lncRNA solute carrier family 51 subunit beta
GUUUGGUCCUGUCAGGAGCAAAUCAAUGGUGCUUUCCAAGGGGAAGGAUCAGCUGAGAGGAUGCUGUCAUUGCUCAGGGGAUACCCAAAGCUGCUCACAGUCCCCACGUUGUUUUGGGGGGGGUACUUUCUGUGCCCCCCUUGUUGUGGUGACCAUUGGUGAUAAGCAUUACAUUCCUCAUUCAUUCAACCUGUUCAUCCAGUGUUGGUUGUUGGUUUUUUAAUUUGGGAAUUUGUUCAUUUGUAGGCAACAUGCAGGCGACACCACACGUUUCGAGUCAAUAAACGAUGGGGCCCAAAGGUUGUGGCUGCGGAGAGUUCACUCCCCUUUGGCUGAGAGAGCCGUGGGCGUGGAGGGUUCAAGGAUUCCCUCCCUGCCAGAGUUUCUUUUAUCAGCAAAAGAGGGGAAUGAAUGAUCGCAUGCUUGCGAGGAACAGCCCCGAUGGAUGUGGUCGUGACAACUGGCCAGAUGCAUUGAACAAUUGCAUGAACAUAAAAUAGUCCAGCGUUCAUCUGAGCGCCAACGGUUUCCAUCUGGAGAUCCUUUGAAAGAGUCCUUUUGUUCUUGUCUGAAGUGUUUCUGGAGUCAUCAUGAAGAUGUUCUGCAUAAUCCUAUAUUUCAUGGUGUAUGUGAAUACCGACCUCAGCUGGCCUGCUGCUGGCCUGGCCUUGGCCAGUGCAGACCCCCAGGAGGAGUUGAAGAGCGGCCUACACCCUGAGGAAGGCCAGGUGCCUCCAGAGAUGCUGCAGGAGCUGCUUUGGUUGUUUCGAGAAGAGGACCCAUCGACGUGGAAUUACUCCAUGCUGGGCCUUUCGUGCCUGGUGCUGGUGGUGGGAUUCUUCCUCCUGGGAGCAAAUGUCAAGGCAAACAGAAACCGGAAAAAUGCACUGCCAAUGAAACAAGAGUAUGAAACUGACCAGCCUGAGGAGACAGAAAUGAAGCAAGGUUUUGUGCUCUUAGCGGACGAUCCUGCUCCAGAUCCUGCUCCAGAAUGUUCACCUCCACAAGCACAAAACGCAGGACAGGUGACCAUCCAGUGGAAGGACGGCCAUGUGACAAACCUGUAUGAGGACAAGCGUGAAGAAGAAGCAUAACGGCUGAGAGAACUGUUUCAAUUCCGUACGGAAACCUGGCAGGCUUACAGAACCGUCUGCAUGUUUUGAAAUCGGCUUUCCAAGAAAUGUUUACUGACCGGAAGCAAAAAGAAAAAGAAAGGGGCAAAAGGGCCCUGCCUCCCUACAGGAUCCCAUCACGGUGCGCUUAUAAUGGGAGUACAACGCAGAAUAACACAAUGCGGAAUGCAACCCUUCUCUCUAUUCACACAAAGUAUGUUGUCGCAGGGCUGAAAUAUGGCACCGGCUUCUGCCACAACCCUCGGAGCUUAGAAACCGUCUGGGACAGAAUUAAUGGAUGUGCCCUUAAAACAUGGACCUGCAAUGGGCUUCCCUUCAGGCGGAACUGGGCAACCGUUGACCCUCCGAGGAUCGCCCCCACCUCUGCGGCAUUCAAAAUUCCCCAACAUGUAAAAAUAAUCAUAAGUAUUUGGGGGCCUGUUGGUACAGUUGGAGCCCUUCAGGGUCCACACGGGCCCCCAAGCUACCUCCAGCCCACCCCUACUUGCGCGCGAGGAGGGCCGACCUGUAAUCCUCCAGAUAUUUGAGAACAACUCCGGUUAUUAACGAGCUCAGAUAAUCCGUGGUGAGAAGGGGGGAAUUGCAGCCCCACAGCAUCUGGAGGGCCACAAGUCGCUGAUCCUUGCCCUGAAGAUGCCUGGGGCUUGUUCUCUGGAGAAAUCACAAGACUAUUCUUUGUUAAAGAAAUUGGCCUACCUCCACAGAACUACAGUUCCCAGGAUUCCCCACUGCGGGGAAUUCUGCUAAAAAGCCCAGGUAUUAAAAUAAAAGCCCAGCCUGUAUUCCA